ACACAUGCAAGUCGAACGGAGCUGAGAGAAGCUUGCUUUUCUCAGCUUAGUGGCGAACGGGUGAGUAACGCGUGAGUAACCUGCCCUGGAGUGGGGGACAACAGUUGGAAACGACUGCUAAUACCGCAUAAGCCCACGAUCCGGCAUCGGAUUGAGGGAAAAGGAUUUAUUCGCUUCAGGAUGGACUCGCGUCCAAUUAGCUAGUUGGUGAGGUAACGGCCCACCAAGGCGACGAUUGGUAGCCGGACUGAGAGGUUGAACGGCCACAUUGGGACUGAGACACGGCCCAGACUCCUACGGGAGGCAGCAGUGGGGGAUAUUGCACAAUGGGGGAAACCCUGAUGCAGCGACGCCGCGUGGAGGAAGAAGGUUUUCGGAUUGUAAACUCCUGUCGUUAGGGACGAUAAUGACGGUACCUAACAAGAAAGCACCGGCUAACUACGUGCCAGCAGCCGCGGUAAAACGUAGGGUGCAAGCGUUGUCCGGAAUUACUGGGUGUAAAGGGAGCGCAGGCGGACCGGCAAGUUGGAAGUGAAAACUACGGGCUCAACCCAUAAAUUGCUUUCAAAACUGCUGGCCUUGAGUAGUGCAGAGGUAGGUGGAAUUCCCGGUGUAGCGGUGGAAUGCGUAGAUAUCGGGAGGAACACCAGUGGCGAAGGCGACCUACUGGGCACCAACUGACGCUGAGGCUCGAAAGCAUGGGUAGCAAACAGGAUUAGAUACCCUGGUAGUCCAUGCCGUAGACGAUGAUUACUAGGUGUUGGAGGAUUGACCCCUUCAGUGCCGCAGUUAACACAAUAAGUAAUCCACCUGGGG
rnacentral:rRNA from 1 species